UACGGAAGGCAGCAGGGGGAAUAUUGCACAAUGGGCGCAAGCCUGAUGCAGCCAUGCCGCGUGUAUGAAGAAGGCCUUCGGGUUGUAAAGUACUUUCAGUCGUGAGGAAGGUGUUAAGGUUAAUAACCUUAGCAAUUGACGUUAGCGACAGAAGAAGCACCGGCUAACUCCGUGCCAGCAGCCGCGGUAAUACGGAGGGUGCGAGCGUUAAUCGGAAUUACUGGGCGUAAAGGGCACGCAGGCGGUUAAUUAAGUUGGAUGUGAAAUCCCCGGGCUUAACCUGGGAAUGGCAUUCAAGACUGGUUAGCUAGAGUCUUGUAGAGGGGGUAGAAUUCCAUGUGUAGCGGUGAAAUGCGUAGAGAUGUGGAGGAAUACCGGUGGCGAAGGCGGCCCCUGGACAAAGACUGACGCUCAUGUGCGAAAGCGUGGGGAGCGAAACAGGGAUUAGAUACCCGU
rnacentral:rRNA from 1 species